UUUCCCAAUUAGUAAGACCCCUUGAAGACGACGAGGUAGAUAGGUUGGAGGUGGAAGUGCAGCAAUGCAUGGAGCUGACCAAUACUAAUCGGUCGAGGGCUUAUCCUA
rnacentral:ncRNA from 1 species